CUCAUGCCGCGUGAGUGAAGAAGGCCUUCGGGUUGUAAAGCUCUUUUGUCAGGAAGAAACACCGGCUCUAACACAGUUCGGGAAUGACGGUACCUGAAGAAUAAGCACCGGCUAACUACGUGCCAGCAGCCGCGGUAAUACGUAGGGUGCGAGCGUUAAUCGGAAUUACUGGGCGUAAAGCGUGCGCAGGCGGUUAUACAAGACAGGCGUGAAAUCCCCGGGCUUAACCUGGGAAUGGCGCCUGUGACUGUAUGGCUAGAGUGUGUCAGAGGGGGGUAGAAUUCCACGUGUAGCAGUGAAAUGCGUAGAUAUGUGGAGGAAUACCAAUGGCGAAGGCAGCCCCCUGGGAUAACACUGACGCUCAUGCACGAAAGCGUGGGGAGCAAACAGGAUUAGAUACCCUGGUAGUCCACGCCCUAAACGAUGCUGACUAGUCGUUCGGGAUUUACAUCCUGGGUAACGUAGCUAACGCGUGAAGUCAGCCG
rnacentral:rRNA from 1 species